rnacentral:tRNA from 2 species
ACUUAUAUAGUUUAACUUAAAACUAUUCAUUUUCAAUGAAAGAUUAGAAAUUAUUCUUAUAAGUU